rnacentral:rRNA from 1 species
UACGUAGGGUGCUAGCGUUGUCCGGAAUUAUUGGGCGUAAAGAGCUCGUAGGCGGCCUGUUGCGUCCGCUGUGAAAGCCCGGGGCUUAACCCCGGGUCGGCAGUGGAUACGGGCAGGCUAGAGGUAGGUAGGGGAGAAUGGAAUUCCCGGUGUAGCGGUGAAAUGCGCAGAUAUCGGGAGGAACACCGGUGGCGAAGGCGGUUCUCUGGGCCUUACCUGACGCUGAGGAGCGAAAGCGUGGGGAGCGAACAGG